UGGUGAUUUUUAACUCCCUCUGUGCCGCCGCUGUACGUCGACGGAUUUUGCUUUGUUAAAUGCGCCCUCUGGUGCUCGCCUGGGCAGCUCUGCUCGUCCCCCAGCUGUGCACGGCGCUCUGAGGGGCUGGCGGGGCCCAGCAGCGGCUCACGGCCAGGGAUGGGCUGAGGGGAGACCUGGUUCACCCAGAACCCUUCCAGAACCCCUCAAUCUACCCCUUCCAACCCACUCAGAACCCCUCAGUCUGCCCCAUCUGACCCACUCAGAACCUAUUUGGUCCAUCCAGAACUCUUCAAUCUGUCCCAUCCGAUCCACACAGAAUCCCACAAUCUGCCCCUUCCAACCCGUUCAGAAUCCCUCAAUUUGCCCCAUCUGAUCCACACAGAACCCCUCAAUCUGCCCCAUCCAGAACUCCCCACUGCCCCACGCUGUUUGUGGACAGGAGCUGAGGGAUGUACAGAGGAUCCCAUGUUGUUCUGCUCCACACACCCGGGCUGUGUUUCCAGCAACUGGUAGAUUGAAAUUUCUGAUAGCAACUUUCUGGGUAAUUUCAUUUUAUAGGGGUUGAACUUGAUCUCUUGAGGUCACUUCCACCCCUGCAAUUCUGUGAUUCUCUGUGUUGGAAGUCACUACAUCUCUGUGUGGCUCUUGGUUGGUGUUUUUUCUGCUGUGGAAAGAGUGGUGGUAGAGUUCUUUAGCCUUCAGUAUUUGCUCCUCCAUCUCAAGGACAGCUGACAACGAAGCAUCAGGUCUGCACUUCUUGUGUGUUUGCUCUCAGCAGGAUGUGAUGGAUGCCAAGCAGUGGUGCCAAUGGACCCAUCCUCAACAGCAAGGCUGCUGACAUCGUUCCUUCAGUGACUUCAGAAGGGCAUGUAAUAAACAAUGUAGAAGACAGGGAACUUGAAAAACAUGACUAGGAAUGCUGGCAAAGACCAUCAGGCUCUUCUCACACAGUUUGGACACCUGGACCAUCAGAAUCCUGACGGGUGAGCCUCAGGACUGGGGAUUUUGAUCAGAGCAGUGAGUGCCAGAUGUAAACUACUGUGGCUGUACAUUCUGUGGAGUGAAAAGCAGAGAAAGAAGUUCUCAAGUUAAAGCCUGGAACCAGAAUGGUGCAGAACCAAUCUCCUCACUGUUCCUCCAGAUCUGCUGAUUCAAUUUAGAAAGCCAGCUUUAAGUCUGCCACGGUGUGAGUGCAAACCCACAUAUUAAGAUCAGUGAAGCUGACGUUGUGCUGUUCACACUUCCAGGAUCACCUGUUCAGCUGCCUGUUGGUAUCAAGGCACUGCCUUGCCAUCUCCACUCACAUUCCUUACUUUUCAUUCUUAUCUGAAAGGCUUCCGGAGCAGACGCUGCGCACUUGAGCCCAAAGAAAGGGCAGAUCUGGUGUGUAGGACAGCGCUUGUAAGACUGUCUGUAAGGAUGAGAGGGAAGUUCAGUUCUUCUGGUAGCUUCAGAGAAUUUAUAGCAAAGUUAGUACCUUUUUUUUUGGUCAGAAAGCAUUAUCUCAUGAUGUGGGCAACUGUCUGAAAUAUGUCAUGUAGGUGACUCAGUCCCACACCCAGCAGUAAUCUCCAAAUUCCAGGUCAUUAUUGGUUUUGUAUGACUUCAAGUGCAACAAAGAAGAAAGUUUCUUUGUCCCACUAUUGUUCACCCGAGUCUCAGCAGGCACCCAAGCUGCAGUAUCCUUUGAGCAGCUGUAGCUCAUGCUGCAUUUCCUUUAGAUGCCAAUGUAAUUGCUUCAAAGAAGGACAUAUGAGCUGAAGCCAGGGGACGUUAACUUUAAAAUAGCUACCAGCCCAUACAGGCUUCCAUUUCAGACUUGUCUUCGCAUUUUAAUUUUUCCUAGCUUUGCUUUUACACUCCAAAGCCACAAUAUCACACUGUUAUGAUUACUAAUAUCUUUUUCAUGCCAAGAACCCAGUCCUUCUCUACCAAAACUGUUCCCAAAAUACCCUCACUCCCAUUGCUUCCUCCAGCACUGCCAGGGCAGCUCCAGCAUCUCACAGCAAGGCAGCAUCGUUUUGCUCUCACUGCUUACAGACAGGAAUUGCAAGUUGGUGCAGCUCUGAGGGCUGUGCAGGCCAGAUCUGUGCACACAGAUCAUUCAGGCAGUUAAGGCCAGUAACUGGAGAAGCUGGCGGAGCCCAUCGGCCGUCUGCUUUGUUGGAGGAGGAGGGCCUAAAGUGAAGUCCUGUUGGAAGCACAGCUACUUAUGUGAAGCAAUAAACAAAAAUAAGACGGGUGUACAGGGAAGAUUGUAAGGUGAGGCACGGUUUGGGCCAAAUCACUCCAUCUCCUCUGUGCAAUAAGAUGACUGCAUCGCUCCGUUGGUGCAACAGUAACUAAAGAGCCUUUUCUCUCCUUCCAAAGCAUCUCACGGCUUCUCAGGCAGUCACUGUCCCUUCCACUCAUCCCGAGCACCAAGAGAACACUUAAGCAUUAAGGGAUGAAAAAACAACCAAACUUGUGAAAAGAAAUAAGACAAACCAGAAAAGCACACUGGCUGCUACAGACAGAACUGCUCCAGCUGAAGCGACCUGGAGGUACUUCCAUGUGACUGCGCUCCCUGGGCCUUCUACCAGCAGGAAGGAUUAGCAGCAAGAUGAUCUGUCAGUCCCUCUCCCCACUGCACUGCUCACCAACCCAUGGAGACAUCGAUUCCAGCUCUGAUGAGAGGCAGAGGUCCCAGAAACAGGAAGCGUCCUAAUAAAAGCUGAGACGGACGUGCUGUUGUCCCACUGAAGGAAAGGCAGAGAACAGUCCAGCUUUCAGCCACGCAAACAUGCAAACCUGUGGGCAUACAGCUGGUGGUUCUUUGUCCAGGCAACAGGUCGGGAGUUGCAGCAAAUGAAUGGAAAGCAACCUCUCCAGCUGCCAUUGCUGGCAGGGCAGCACAGGACGCUGAGAAAUCCUUGGCUGAGUGUAAGCGCUGCUCAGCAACAACUGAAACAUUGCUGUGUUAUCAGCUGUGUUUGUCUCCUAAAUGCCAAACGGCACCACGCUGCUGCAGGGGAGUGAACCAUCUCAGGCACAGCUGGGGCAUAAGCCAAAGGAAAAGUGUUUGGAGAAAGAAAUAGGAAACAUGGCAGCUAGAGCUCUCACAGCAAGAGGCUGAGCUUUGUAGGAAGCUGAUUGUUGCCAAGACUGUAACACGUUGCAUUACUGCUUUGCUGAUUAGGCUCUAUUUUAUCAAUAUUUGUGUUAUGUAGCUGAAUUUUAUGAGCAAAACAGUGAGCACAAAAAGAUUUCUCAUUUUAAAGGAACUUCUUGAAUCGAGAUCUCCGUUUAGAAAUGGAGCUGUCUUCUGUGUCUGCUCGUGAGAUCAGUACCUGCUCCCUCACUGAUGGAAGCAGCUGCCCGCUCUGGGCUCCUUCCACAUCUCCAUUCUUGGACUGGUGACUUGAGGUCUUCUCAUCAGAAUUAUCCUCCGGCCAGGAAGAGUUUUGUCUGCAUACUUAGAGCAUGAAAUCUGGCCUGCAGGCCAAGCUUGCUGUUCUGAAAAUUGAGACAAGCACCAUGUAACCCCUUCAGAGUGACUGGGAACAGCACACAUUUGGUAUCACUAUCUCAUUUGUAUACUUUUUCUUACGUACUGAACUAGGAACGUUUUUGUCAGCCUGAAUCAUCAAGAUACAGAUGCACAAAUAACUGCCAAGGGCGUUAAAUGGUUCACAAUGACAGGCUUUGUUCUGCAGGCAGCUUGCAGUGGUGACCCACAGCUGCCUCACCACUGCAGCCCUCAAGCCCUGCUGACCUUGCACCGACUUCACCUGCAACUGCAUCACAGCUUGACUUUGCUUACAGGCCCAGCAGAAUUUAAUAACUGGUAAAGCACUACAAGUGCUAAUGAGCCAUUUGCAUGUUCUCAGGAUGGCUACAGGUGAUUGAAACAAACCAAUAAAACUGUUUUCCUUCUUUAGAGUUCACUUGAUUGAAAGGCUUCAGUUCCUGGAGCUCUGCUGUCCUUCAGCUGUCAGAGACAACACAAGCUUGAGACCAAGAACAAAUGUGAUUGGCAGUAACGUUUAAAUCCAGGCAAUAUUAAUCACUUUUUAAGAGUACUCCAAAGAGUAAAAACCUGCUGUUUCAUUAGGCUUGAGAAGCUUUACUGAUUUAACCUUACAAAAUAAGGAAGAAAAAAGAGUAAAAAUAUGCAAGAGCUCCACCUUUCUGAGUCUGAGCGGUACUGCUGUGGAGACGGCAAGUGGGAGCAUCCCAGCAGUCAGCACUUAGAAAUUCAGGAGCAAGGCUCUGGAACAGCCUGCUAGGAAGAGUGGGAUGGGAAGAUCCCAGAAUGGUCUUGGGGUGCAUUUCCAAAAAGGCCCACGUGCUGGGCUGCCUGCAGAGCGGGGAUGAGAGCGGCGUUCCUGAAUGGAAGUGGUCCCUUUAUGCUGAAAAGCCUCCACGAUGCCACUCGUUUGCUCCAUUCUCAAACAAACAUCCUGUUGUUUGUAGGCAAAGAGGUCAAACAGAAAUUGAGGUUCUCAGUGACCAUAAGGUUGGCUGCGAUCAUCACUGAUGUGCUGAAAGCUUUAAUCGACGCAUCCUCAAAAAUCUGAUUAGGAAGCAGAGAUUGUACCUGGAAGAAAAGCUUCCAAGCUGCCAACUCAUAGUUGAACUCAACGUUUCUAUGCAUCAGAGAGAGAGAAUAGCCCUUGCAUGGGAGGCAGAGAGGGAGAACAGCCCUUGCAUGGGAGGCAGUAAAUGCAGGAACUGUAAAACUCAGGAACUGAAUGGCUGCUGGGAGUGGAAGCGGUGUAACGGGGACUGCAGGCUCGAUGGAGGAGCUUAGCUCAUUAUCUCCCCUCCUGGAAGGGCCACUGAAGAUACACGAGUACCACACUGAACACCAUGAGGUGGAUCUGAAGCACCGAAGGCGUGCAGUUGGCCAAACCUACAGAGCACUGCACAGGAGCUCUGCUCUGGGAAAGGUCUGUGUCUGCUGAUGGGAUCUGACACCUGCCUACUGGCUAAAAGAGAAAGGGAGCAGUGGUAAGUGUAACAAGUCUGAACUUCUCCUUCGAGGUUUCCUUUGCUCAUCACUGUGGUAGAACCAGCAGUGACUUGGUGCUUUCCUAGAUAGAGCAGUGGCUCUUGCAGGAUGCUUUUGAUUUUUAAUCCUCACCUACUUAUAGAAAAACAAACAAAUGUAAAGGACCAUCUCCCGAGUGAUGCUCCGAGAAGCUGAUGGCCUGCUCUGUGGGCUUCCCCCUGGCUUCAAAUGGGGAAGCAAUUACAUUCUCUACAAUUAAUCUGUAGCCAAAAUAAAGCUGUAACAUGAUGUGUUUAUUGCUACCUGCUUUCAAAAGAAAGCAGCAGAAUGUACUCACUACUAAAUCCAGACCCAACUGAUCUAGCUGGGAAGCCGUGCAGCAGGCACCCAGCCAGCCAAGUGCUGCCUCUGGAAACAUGUUUAAACUCAACAUCCAGAAUGCAUUUCCAGCAGCACAUCGGAUGUGAAGACCAAUCUGAAUUCCCAGUGGCUCUGCAGCCCCAGGCAAUGCAGAUAAGAGAGGUAUUCCCCAGCUACUGCAAAGGCUACUCUUCAGAUUAAUUUGCCACAGUUUUCUUUUAACUCACCACUGCUGAGCUGCCAGUGAGAGGGACUGAGCUGGAAGAAGGGGCUGGAGGAGUCUGGGGACAAAGACAGAGUGUUGCAGAGAACAGCAUCCCUGUGCCCAGGUCAGGAAGCAGGAAGGCUGUGUCUGGAUGUUCCUUCAAGGUGCUGCUCCUCUGCAAACAGCAAACCUGUUAAUAAUAGUGAACAGAAAACCAAAGUGGGGUCACACAGACUGGAGAGCUGUUGGUGGUGUUGCUGGCCCUGCAGGGUCACCAGCACAGAGCAGAGCAAAUGCUGGCUCUGGGGAACAGAAACCUCCAACAAAGUGUCAGUGCUCUGCAGAGCGAGAACAGUGGCUGUUUUCAAAAUGAAGUGGAAGGUGAAAAAGUUACAGCUCUCAAAAACAAAAAUACAGUCCAAAAUGCAACCUAUGGAACUCGUUGGACUGGUCCCAUUUCUAACAAACUCCAAUAACAAACCACAAUAUUAAUACAAAUGUACUCUUCUCUUUGAAGUUCUGCAACCUCAACAGUUUUUUCCUCCAUCAGUUAACUUUCUACUCUUCCCACUUGUGAGUGGCUUACUCCCACAAAUGAAGCAAUAUUCCAACACUGAUGUGCCAAAUUAAAUCCCUCCUACGAUCCCAGCUCUGUGAGGCUCUUAGAGUUCAAAGCAUCAGAGAUCAGUCCAAGUCAAAUAGGUGCUGAUCAGGAAUGAUGCUGGUGUGGUAUUAAAGCAUCUUCCAGCAGGUUCUCACACUCACUCAGCACCAAGCCUCCCUGUUCUGCACUCACUGCAUCCUGAGCUGAUCCUCAGGGAUGAUGUCUCCACAACUCCUCUCAUAGAAAAUAACAUCCAUCCCCAUUCAAGGCAAAGCAACCUCAGCCCAGACUCAUUAAAGCCUCAUUAAGUCACGCUGUAGCUCGUGCCUUGACUGCCACAGACACGACGUGAGCUGCCGACGUAUUUUCAACGUGAAACUUUUUGUUGUUUUUUUUUUGUUUCUAAAUUCUAUCAGUUCGGUCUGUUCAUGACAGUCUGCAUUGGCAACAGCAGAACAGAGCGAGUAUUCCACGUGCAGCAGUUGUGUCCCUCACAAGAAAGCCCAGGAUGAGACCAGCUUACCAUCUACACGUUACAUUACUAACAACCCAACAGCACUACUUGGUGUAAUAAUGUGCCUGUUAAAGAACGCCGAGUGCAAAGCAACCACAACUCAUUAAAGAAGGAGGAUAUGUUUCAGAAGAGUUUCCUUCUGCCAAGCUUGACGCUGGUUUGAGUCUUCUGUCACUUAUCUUAAACUGCUGAAGAUCAUUUAAAAGUCAUCGACUGAUGAAAAAGUGAGGCCUCCCUUAUGAGGGUGGGUGGUGAUAGGAUAAGGAGAAUGGUUUUAAACUGAGACAGGGGAGGUUUAGGUUGGAU